rnacentral:rRNA from 1 species
GAUCUUGUAUCUUACUCUAUUGCAAUGAGGCAUGUUUAAUAACCUGUUCGAGCAACCAGUGAAGGGCAAGUCUGGUGCCAGCAGCCGCGGUAAUUCCAGCUUCACGAGUGUAUAUUUAAGUUGUUGCAGUUAAAAAGCUCGUAGUUGAACUUCUGUUCGUUCAGAAGGCGUGCAAGCGAAUUCUGGAUGAGCAUCCGCCUGAAAAAUCAUUCGGGUCUUCACUGAUUCAGUGAUGGAUCAGGCAUUUUACUUUGAAAAAAAUUAGAGUGUUCAAAGCAGGCUAUCGCCUGAAUACAUUAGCAUGGAAUAAUAGAAUAGGACGCUGUUCAAUUUGUUGGUUAUUGAAUCGCGUAAUGAUUAAUAGGGACAGUUGGGGGCAUUUGUAUUUAAUUGUCAGAGGUGAAAUUCUUGGAUUUAUUAAAGACAAACUUAUGCGAAAGCAUUUGCCAAGGAUGUUUUCAUUAAUCAAGAACGAAAGUUAGAGGAUCAAAGACGAUCAGAUACCGUCCUAGUUUUAACUAUAAACUAUGCCGACUCGGUCUCCGUCGAGCUUUCCUAACUCGAUGGGUGCCGUAUGAGAAAUCAAAGUCUUUGGGUUCCGGGGGGAGUAUGGUCGCAAGGUUGAAACUUAAAGGAAUAGACGGAACAUCACUACCAGGUGUGGAUCCUGCGGCUUAAUUUGACUCAACACGGGGAAGCUUACCAGCGCAAAACAAGGGUGGGAUUGACAGAUUGAGAGCUCUUUCUUGAUUCUUUGGAUAGUGGUGCAUGGCCGUUCUUAGUUGGUGGAGUGAUUUGUCUGCUUAACUGCGUUAACGAACGAGACCUCAACCUACUUACUAGACGCAUUAUGUUCAAUAGUGUGUUCUUCUUAGAGGGACUGUACGGAGACAAACGCAAGGAAGUUUGAGGCAAUAACAGGUCUGUGAUGCCCUUAGAUGUGCUGGGCCGCACGCGGGAUACAAUGACCCGUUCAGAAAGUAUAACCUGACCCGGAAGGGAGUGGGUAAUCUUUUUAAUGCGGGUCGUGCUAGGGAUCGAUCUUUGCAAUUAUAGAUCUUGAACGAGGAAUACCUAGUAAGUGCAAGUCAUCAGCUUGUACUGAUUACGUCCCUGGUGUUUGUACUCACCGCCCGUCGCUCCUACCAAUUUCGAAUGAUCCGGUGAACCUUUUGGAUUGGGUGCAAACCUAAGAAGUUAAGUAAACCUUAUCAUUUAGAGGAAGGAGAAGUC